rnacentral:rRNA from 1 species
UACGGAGGAUGCAAGCGUUAUCCGGGAUGCUUGGGCGUAAAACGUCCGCAGGUGGCUCUGUCAGUCUGCUGUUAAAGAGUGAGGCUCAACCUCAUAAGAGCAGUGGAAACUACAUGGCUAGAGUGCGUUCGGGGCAGAGGGAAUUCCUGGUGUAGCGGUGAAAUGCGUAGAGAUCAGGAAGAACACCGGUGGCGAAAGCGCUCUGCUAGGCCGCAACUGACACUCAUGGACGAAAGCUAGGGGAGCGAAUGGG